GCCGGGCAUGGUGGCACGUGCCUGUAAUCCCAGCUACUUGGGAGGCUGAGGCAGGAGAAUUGCUUGAACCCGGGAGGCAGAGGUUGCAGUGAGCUGAGAUUACGCCACUGCACUCCAGCCUGGGCAACAGAGUGAGACCCUGUCUCAA
rnacentral:SRP_RNA from 1 species